UACGUAGGGCGCGAGCGUUGUCCGGAAUUAUUGGGCGUAAAGAGCUCGUAGGCGGUUUGUCGCGUCGGUUGUGAAAACCCAAGGCUCAACCUUGGGCCUGCAAUCGAUACGGGCAGACUAGAGUACUGCAGGGGAGACUGGAAUUCCUGGUGUAGCGGUGGAAUGCGCAGAUAUCAGGAAGAACACCGGUGGCGAAGGCGGCUAUCUGGACCGACAUUGACGCUGAGGCGCGAAAGCGUGGGGAGCAAACAGG
rnacentral:rRNA from 1 species